UACGUAGGGUGCAAGCGUUAUCCGGAUUCACUGGGUUUAAAGGGUGCGUAGGUGGGUUGGUAAGUCAGUGGUGAAAUCCCCGAGCUUAACUUGGGAACUGCCAUUGAUACUAUCAGUCUUGAAUACCGUGGAGGUCGGCGGAAUAUGUCAUGUAGCGGUGAAAUGCUUAGAUAUGACAUAGAACACCAAUUGCGAAGGCAGCUGACUACGCGAGUAUUGACACUGAGGCACGAAAGCGUGGGGAUCAAACAGG
rnacentral:rRNA from 1 species